rnacentral:misc_RNA from 1 species
GCCGCCGCCGCCGAUGGCGAAGACGAAGCCUGGCAAGAAGGAUCUGGACUCCUACACAAUCGAAGGCACCGGCAAGGUCGUCCAAGCCGGCGACGUCGUGCUCCUCCGUCCCCCGGACAACAAGACGCCGCCCUACGUGGCGCGCAUCGAGAAGAUUCAGGAAGACCACCGCAGCAACGUGCGAUGCAGGGUGCGCUGGUACUACCGCCCAGAGGAGGCCAAGGGCG